rnacentral:rRNA from 1 species
CCUACGGGAGGCAGCAGUCGGGAAUUUUCGGCAAUGGGGGGAACCCUGACCGAGCAACGCCGCGUGAACGAAGAAGUUAUUCGUAAUGUUAAGUUCUUUUAACAGGGAAGAAAGAGAAAUUUGACGGUACCUGAAGAAUAAGCUCCGGCUAACUACGUGCCAGCAGCCGCGGUAAUACGUAGUGUGCGAGCGUUAUCCGGAAUUAUUGGGCGUAAAGGGUGCGUGGAUGGCAUAGUAAGUCUUUUGUAAAAAUGCUGGGCUAAACCCAGUAGGGCAAAAGAUACUGCAAAGCUAGAGUAUGAGAGGGGCAAGUGGAACUACAGGUGUAGCAGUAAAAUGCGUAGAUA